GGGGAUGUUUAUGGAUUCGACGGGUAUAGUUCGAAUUCCGGCUGCGUUUCGAAGGUUGCGGCUUCGUAAAAACGCUCAGUUUCAAAUUAUAACUGCAAACAAUAAUUCAAACUCUUACGCAUACGCUGCCUAACAAGUAAGCAUGCGUAAAUCCGGCUGGGCUCGUCCAUGGUGCAGUACCGGGUUUUAUCUAACAGUGGACUUACGCUUGCUGCUCCGGCUUGAAGCAACAAGAAGAGACCAAUCAAGCUAGUUGUGUGGGUUAGCCCUGAUCAGCGGCGUUCCAGACAAUGAACCUUAAAUAGCUGAGAUAUGAACGUAGACGCCGAAAUGGCGAUAUAUUCGGACGCGGGUUCAAAUCCCGCCAUCUCCAUUU
rfam:Lactobacillus mucosae LM1, complete genome.